rnacentral:rRNA from 1 species
GACGAACGCUGGCGGCGUGCUUAACACAUGCAAGUCGAACGGAAAGGCCCUGCUUUUGUGGGGUGCUCGAGUGGCGAACGGGUGAGUAACACGUGAGUAACCUGCCCUUGACUUUGGGAUAACUUCAGGAAACUGGGGCUAAUACCGGAUAGGAGCUCCUGCUGCAUGGUGGGGGUUGGAAAGUUUCGGCGGUUGGGGAUGGACUCGCGGCUUAUCAGCUUGUUGGUGGGGUAGUGGCUUACCAAGGCUUUGACGGGUAGCCGGCCUGAGAGGGUGACCGGCCACAUUGGGACUGAGAUACGGCCCAGACUCCUACGGGAGGCAGCAGUGGGGAAUAUUGCACGAUGGGCGGAAGCCUGAUGCAGCAACGCCGCGUGCGGGAUGACGGCCUUCGGGUUGUAAACCGAUUUCGCCUGUGACGAAGCGUGAGUGACGGUAAUGGGUAAAGAAGCACCGGCUAACUACGUG